rfam:Oryza glumipatula chromosome 9, whole genome shotgun sequence.
UAUAAGGGAUUUUGAGUUUUUGCUUGGAAUGUUUGACCACUCGUCUUAUUUAAUUUUUUAAAAAAUUAUUAUUUAUUUUAUUUGUGACUUACUUUAUUAUCUACCGUACUUUAAGCAUAACUUUUCGUUUUCUAAUAUUUGCAAAAAAAAUUUAAAUAAGACGAGUGGUCAAACGUUACAAACAAAAACUCAAAUCCCUUAUA